rnacentral:rRNA from 1 species
UACGUAGGGGGCAAGCGUUGUCCGGAAUCAUUGGGCGUAAAGAGCGUGUAGGCGGUUCGGUAAGUCGGCUGUGAAGGUCCAGGGCUCAACCCUGGGAUGCCGGUCGAUACUGCCGGACUAGAGUUCGGAAGAGGCGAGUGGAAUUCCCGGUGUAGCGGUGAAAUGCGCAGAUAUCGGGAGGAACACCUAUGGCGAAGGCAGCUCGCUGGGACGUUACUGACGCUGAGACGCGAAAGCGUGGGGAGCAAACAGG